CAUGACACCGUUCGUCUGAGUCUUCCCGAUCCAGCAAAUAAGGGGUUUCCUUGAACCCGCUGGGUAUGAGGCUGAGGAAACACUAAUCAACCCCAAACAAGCCUAGUAAGGGCGGGUUACGCACAUACUGUCGGCACCACUCACACAACACAAACUCAAUCUAGAACCUAACCUAAGGCUAAUGUUCCAGAUCCUAACUAGACACUCGACUCUACAACACAAACCAAUAGUACCAGUAGUCCGGCCUAUAUGGCCUAAGACCCUUAGUACUAACUACUAAACAAUAAUAUCAAUACUAAACAACACAAUCAAACCGUUACCCAGAUAGUUCAGCUUCCCGCUGAGAAACUAUCUUUAAAGAUAAUGGGAACCUGCACUCAACCAUAUCAAC
rnacentral:lncRNA from 1 species